rnacentral:misc_RNA from 1 species
GAUGAAGAACGUAGUAAAAUGCGAUAAGUAAUGUGAAUUGCAGAAUUCAGUGAAUCAUCGAAUCUUUGAACGCACAUUGCGCCCGCCAGUAUUCUGGCGGGCAUGCCUGUUCGAGCGUCAUUUCAACCCUCAAGCACAGCUUGGUGUUGGGACUCGCGUUAAUUCGCGUUCCUCAAAUUGAUUGGCGGUCACGUCGAGCUUCCAUAGCGUAGUAGUAAAACCCUCGUUACUGGUAAUCGUCGCGGCCACGCCGUUAAACCCCAACUUCUGAAUGUUGACCUCCGAUCAGGUAGGAAUACCCGCUGAACUUAAGCAUAUCAAUAAGCGGAGGA